GCUUAUGAUGGUGCAUGCCUGUAAUCCCAGCUCUGGGGAGGCUGAGGCUUAUAGAUCUCAUGAGCCACAAAGUCAUGAGCAGGAGUGGAUUACUGUGAUCAGGUACUCAAACUAAGUUUGGUAUUAAUAUGGUGAGCCCCCAGAAGUGGGAGUCCACCAUGAUGCCUCUGGAGGGACAAACGAGUCCAGAUCUAAAACAGAGCAGAUCAAAGCUCCUAUGUGUACCAGAGUGUAACUGGGCCCGUGAGUAGCCCCUGCACUUCCAGCCUGGGUGAGAUAGGGGACCCA
rnacentral:SRP_RNA from 1 species